rnacentral:lncRNA from 1 species
CCCUUUCCCCUCUCUCUCUCUCUCUCUCUCUCUCUCUCUCGAAUUAGGGUUUUUGCGAUCCCAACUCCUCUCCUCACUCGUAUGCUAGGGCUCUAGAACGGGGGAGGGAGAAGGAGCUCACGAUGAGCGGCAAUGGCGGUGCCCUCACCUUCGCCUACUACGUCACCGGCCACGGAUUCGGCCACGCCACCCGCGUCGUCGAGGUAGUUCGGUUCAGUUGGCGAUCUCCCAUACGUUGUNUAUGUGUAUUAAUACAUUAAUAAUUAAUAAUAAUAGAGACCCAAGUUCGAAUCCUAAUUGAUUCACAUUUCUAGCUAAGUUUAUUACUAAAUGAAAUAAACGAAGCGGGUAUCGUGCUAUCUAUAUCUCAAAAAUAAUAAUAAUAAUAAUAAUAAUUAUAGGAAUCCACAAUGUUUCCUUAUCCAAAUAUCCAUUUCAUAUCACUCUCUCACGCUAUAGAACAAAAUAACUAUCCAUGCAACUCCCCCAUUACACACGGAUUUUUUUUUCAAAACGAUCCUAUAAAAUUUUCUAAUUAAGUAAAUAACACUACAAAAAAAAAUAUACAUACUAAAUUUUCUUUUGCCAUGUAGAACUUUUGAAUUUUUUCUAAUUUUUCACAAAAUCGAUAAAUUAUUUACCGUCUUUCGCUUAUUUACUAUUUUUUUCUUUUUUCCAUAUGUAACUCUAACAGCUUUAUAAAAAUUUUAACAAAUCAUAUAUAAUUUUAACAAUCUCAAAAUCGUAAAAAUCUAUUCAUACAAUUUUAACAAUCAAAUAAAAAUUUUAAUAAUUUACCUAUAAUCCUAACAAUUUCUUCUUUUUUUUUUAUUUUCUGUACAAUUCUAACCAUGACGAAGACGGUGAAUCGUUAAAUGCAGUGAACGAUCCACCGCCUUUAAAAAGCUGAGAGAUUUUCAGAAUGUGGUGGAUAAUUUACGGCGUCUUGAUACAUGGUGAAGAGAUAAUUAGUUUGUCAAACACAAAUUUUAUAGGAUUAUUUUGCAAAUUAUAAAAUUUUAGAGGAUUAUUUUGUGAAAAAGUCCGCACACACACUCUCAUAAUCCCCAUCAUCAUCAUCAUCAUAUAUACACGGGCUUUUUUUGCAUUUAGCCCUCUGAAAAAAAAAUUAUUUUAAAAAUAGCCCCAGCAAAUUUAUAUUUGCAAAAAUAACUCUAGUACUGCCACGCAGGCGCCAUGUCACCGCCACGUGAGCGGAGCUGAGGCCAGUUUAUUAAGUUGAACACGGUGAACUAUUCACCAUGUCUAAACCUAUAUAUUGUGAAAAAAAUAUAAGAAAAAUAAAAAGGAGAAAGAAGGGAAUAUAGGUAUGAAAUACGGUGAACCAUUCACCGUGUUUGAACAAGAUGAUUGAUUCACUGUGUUCAACUUAAAACCAUGGCGCUAAUAUGGCGCCUGCGUGGCGGGGAUAGGGCCAAAUUUGUAAUUAUAAAUUUGAUGGGGUAUUUAUAAAAAAAAUAUUUUGAGGGGGUCAAAUGCAAAAAAAGCCCUAUAUACACGUUGGGAAGUUACCGGGUACAUUUGCCGCUCCGCACACCCUCUAACUCCUCGCCUCGUGAUUCGCGCCGUGAUUGAUUGGUCAACGCCUUUGACUCUUCCUCUCGUCCCCGUCCCAUCUCUCACACUUCCACUGCGACCGCACGUGAAAACGGUUACAACCCCGCCCACCACCAAUUCGAAGAUGUCGCAAACCUGCCCCCAUUUCCUCUCUCUCUCUCUCUCGCCUCGAAUUAGGGUUUUUGCGAUCCCAACUCCUCUCCUCACUCGCAUGCUAGGGCUCUAGAACGGGGGAGGGAGAAGGAGCUCACGAUGAGCGGCAAUGGCGGUGCCCUCACCUUCGCCUACUACGUCACCGGCCACGGAUUCGGCCACGCCACCCGCGUCGUCG